rnacentral:antisense_RNA from 1 species
UAUAGGCAUUCAGUGUACGCUGGCACAGUGCAGAGCGUACGCAAUCGUCUUUCGUGAAACGAACAAUGCCUAUCAUUUCAUCUUCCUCGAAACGUGCGAGCGCAUCGCUUAACCCUGACUGGACGCCAGAGGGCAAAUCACACUGGGUGAUGUCACCGUUCACGAUAACCGUCACGUUCUCCCCGAGGCGCGUU